AUUGAACGCUGGCGGCAGGCUUAACACAUGCAAGUCGAGCGGGGUGAUGGUGCUUGCACUAUCACUUAGCGGCGGACGGGUGAGUAAUGCUUAGGAAUCUGCCUAUUAGUGGGGGACAACAUCUCGGAAGGGAUGCUAAUACCGCAUACGUCCUACGGGAGAAAGCAGGGGAUCACUUGUGACCUUGCGCUAAUAGAUGAGCCUAAGUCGGAUUAGCUAGUUGGUGGGGUAAAGGCCUACCAAGGCGACGAUCUGUAGCGGGUCUGAGAGGAUGAGCCGCCACACUGGGACUGAGACACGGCCCAGACUCCGACGGGAGGCAGCAGUGGGGAAUAUUGGACAAUGGGGGGAACCCUGAUCCAGCCAUGCCGCGUGUGUGAAGAAGGCCUUAUGGUUGUAAAGCACUUUAAGCGAGGAGGAGGCUCUUUUGGUUAAUACCCAAGAUGAGUGGACGUUACUCGCAGAAUAAGCACCGGCUAACUCUGUGCCAGCCGCCGCAGUAA
rnacentral:rRNA from 1 species